ACCCCGCACCGCCCACCUCCCGACACUUAUAGUAAAAAAAAAGAAUCUAUCUCUUCAGCCGCCGCACGAGGCGAGCAACUCUGAGCUACGGCGAUGGCGGAGGCGGGAGGGAGGCGAUGGGUCAGUCCGGAUCCGCCACCGCCCCACGGAGGUGAGCUGCGUCGCCCGGAUCCGCCAUCACCAAAGCAGCCGCGCCGCCGGGAUCUGCCGCCUCAGUAGGCUGACGGCUCCCGAGCAGGAGACACGCCGCCGCGAGACGUGACCGCGCAGCCGGGCCGCCGCCGCCGCGGCUCCUGGUGGCGGAGAGGUGCUGGCCGGGGGUGCUGCUGGUGGCGGCACUAGGUUACUCCUCGGUCGCUCGCUCGGGAGCGACACGGAAGUCGGGGGCAAGCCCGUACAACUUAAACUUGCACACACAAAUCAUGAUAUCACAGGAUACCAGAUGAUCAUGGAUGGGCUGCAUACAUGUGGGAUAUGCUGAAGAAGGAGAUUCAUGUUCUGGACUUAUUGUGUGCUCAAGUUGCUGGAGGAGUGCAGCGGCAUAUGAUCCACCAGGAGGCUGUCUCACAGAUUCACUCGCAUUAUUCAGCUGCCUACAGUGAGUUCUUUGCGAAAUGACAUUGUCCAGCUGACAGAUGGAAGGGCAGCUUCCCCAAGAUAAUGUGAAGCCUGAGCUAGAUGAUUUCCCAACUACACUCAAAUUCAGAUAAACAUCAAGAACAGGAAGGAAGUUGAGGAACUUUGUUUAGGGUUUCUAGCACUCAAAGAGGAACAGGUUGAGCCAGCCGGGUCACGGCGGCUGGGGUUUAAUCCUAUUACAACUCUAGAUGCCUCUACCGAUCUCCAAAUCUUGGCUUUAUAGCAAUUACAAAACAGAAAGUGAACUGAAAGGUGAAGUUGUUGGACGAUCAACAGCGAUCCUUGACGCGACGGCUGCUGUCCGAUGGAAGAUCAACAUCUCUCAGCAGCUGCCUCUGGCGCGAAUCGGUAAGUGGAGGCCAGCAUCGUUGGAUGUGAUUCAUACGGUGGAGUUUGAAUCAACAGCUGAAGCGAUAACCUGCAGUUAACUGAAGAUGGUUGUUGUCGAUCUUCAGAUAAGGGGCCUGACAGAUAACGCACGAUGUUUUCACUAGGGACGAGUCUGGGAUGUGUAUGCUUCAUGCAAUCAGGCAGUACGAUGGGGAUAAGAUGAUGUGGUCAUUGACGAAAGCUUCAUAGUCUGUUUAACUUUCUUACUUCUUUCAUAAAAUUGUUGGAUGAGAAUUUCAGCAACCAGAGCUUGGAUGCUGUUUUGGCUCUGAAA